GCGAGCCCAGGCCCCGAGGACUCGAUCGUCUCCCUGCAGAGCGAGCCGGUGUUGGCCGGUUGCAGCAACAGCUUUCUGUGAGCAAUCCUGAGGGGUUGUGCUGGUUUAAAGUGUAAGAACUUAGCUAAAUCAAACUCUGCGAGCUUCUGAGUGACGGGAGUUCCUUUCUGCGUGUGAGGAAACACAGUGAUUUCAUAAGAUUCAAUAAGGAGUUUUUAACAACAAUACCAGAUCAUACUCAGCUCUCAGGAUCUUACUCUUCAGGUGUGCUGGCUACAAGACAAGCUGAGGGAGGAAGAAAACGUGGACGUUAGUUACUCUUUGUGCGUGCUGCCAGGACGUGACUGCCGUUCAGAAGCAGAGACAAAGCAGCCGAGCCACGAGCCACGAGCCUCUCCUGCCCCGGUGAUGCUCUCCGUGCCCACAUGCAGCAGCAGGACAAAAGCAUCUCCCUCAUCCCUGGGGCAUAAAGGGAAUGGUGGAGCAAGAGAAAGCCUCAGAUCUCACUCCUUGUGAAUGUGGAAGACGUUGUUGCCCAGAAGGAAAAGUAUAUAGAGCGUGUCCUCUGGUCCACAAAAUCCACUGACCUCAAUCCAGCUAUUUAUUGUCCAUCCACAGGACAGCAAUUGUAAGAGCCCUGAUUU
rnacentral:lncRNA from 1 species